AGACCCUCCCUGUCUCGCCAGUGAUGGGCGGUAAUAACUGUUUUGCCCAGUAGCUCUGCCGCAUGCCAUAGCCUGAGAAUGUGCCUCGGGGUGCGUCUGCAGAGACCACCCCCCAGUCAGGGCAGCCAGGCCAGGCCAGGCCUCACCCAAGCCUGACCCUGGGCUGAUCCCUGGGAGGGGUGGGGAUCUCUGGGUCCUGCCCUGCCUUCCUCAACCCCAAGUUGGCCUCCACAGGCCCAGCAGGUGAAGGGCCUGGGCUCUGGGCAGCUCUGCCAGUCAGCGCUACAUCUGCAUGCCUCUGCCUUUAGACUGCAAGCUCCCCAAGGAGAAGAGGUGAUGCCUCCUCUAGCGGAUUGGGGGACUCUUCCAAGAAUGGAGUGUAUGUCCGCUCCUCAGAGGGCAGAGGCUGUGGCUUCCCUAUGAGAGUAGAGGCUUGAGCAGGACAGAGGCCAGGCCUCUGCCAUCAGACUAGGAGCUCUGUGAGGGCAGAGGCUGUGGAUGCUGUGUCGGAGUAGGGAUAUUCCCAGGGCAGAGCGACCUCCCCGCAUCAGACUGGGUCCUCAGCUCAGUCCAGCUGCUCUCAGGUGAACGCCUCUGAGGAAGGGGGAUCAGCACAGCAGACACUGCCUCUCUCAGUCCCAAGUCCCCAGAUCCAUGUCAUCUAUUGGAGUCUCCCCAACUCCAAGCCUGGGAGGGCAGCUGCGGCUGGGAACACCUGGUCCUGAGACCUGGGCAGAGACCCUGCACAGUGGGGCAGAAGUGCACGGCUGGCCAGGAGUCAGAUCGCUGCCCUUCCCCACACCCUGCCCUACCCAGCCCUGUCUCCCACCGACUCUGACCACCCCUUGGUUCUCUUAUCAAAAAUCAUCAAAACCUGCCGUGGAAACUCCCUGCCUCCUGAGCCCCACACUCUACCUGGCUUCACCUGUCUUCCCACCCUGGCAUCCAGAGCCCACAACCUGCCAAUUCCAUUCCUGGGAAGACCCAGAAGGGAGCAGAGCUGGCACCAGGAGGCCAAAAACCCAGGCCCCCUCGGUCCCCAGCCCCUCCUGGCCCCAGGCCCUCUACCCUCUGCUCCUGUUUCUCCUAGGGUGUGCCUUUCUUUGCCCUCUGGAUGGUGGCGAAGGAUGGAGUGCGGUGAGGGCAGCGGGCCAGGGGCAUGUCCCAUAAUGUAAAAGGAAUCCGAGCAUGGAGGCACCCUCCACCUUCAGAUUCCUGGGAGAUCUUCCUGGGGGAUCAAUGUCUGGAGACAGAUGACCUCCGUGGGGGAGGUCAGCUGAGGUCACUCGUCCCUAAUCAAGGGUAUUAGCCCUGAGGAGGAAGUCACAGGGCCUAUCUCUUUUGGCCAACCCCAGCAAAGCUGGGAAACUGAGGCCUAGAGCGGGAGUCCAGGCUCACAGGGCUGGCCCAUCAGAGGAGGGGUGGGGGAGUCAUGUCGCCACCAUUCCCACCGUGGGCACAGACCUGUCUGUGUCCUUCUCUUGAGGAAGAACUGACCACACCUCAGAUUCCCCUUAUGAAAGACAGAGGCUGAGGAACUGAGGAGAGUGAGUCAGUUUUAUUAUAUGAGAUAAGGCGGCUGGACAAAGCUGCUGGCAUGGGGCCUGGCUCAGACAGUGCUCAGCGAAGCAACAGCCUUCCUUCGGGUCUGAAAUCCUCACUCUGCUCCCAGCUUCUCUGGGGGAUCUCCCUUCCCCUUCCUGGACUCCUGGGUCUCACUCCCCCACCCCACCCCCGCACACCCAGCCUUUGUCCCACUCCUGCCCCAGGACCCCCCCUCCUCCAUGGGAAGUGGAGCUUCCUCCUCGGUCCUCCAACACCUUCCUGGUGAGGGUCGGGCUCUGCUGGGAGUGCCAGAGCUGCCCAGCCUGCUGACUCAGCGCCUGAGGAUAGGACUUGCUUUAGCAACGGCCCAGGCCUCCGGCAAACAGAGCCACGGCAGCCACACCCCUGCCACAGGAAUGCAGCAACAUUCCUGGGGGGUGCCGUGGCACGGUGCCUAUGACUGGGGGGCAGGUGGAGGGCAGGUAGGCACCUGCCUCUGCUACCUUGCCUCGGGGAGAAGGGAGCCAGGGCCCAGCGUCCUGAAGGCAGGGAGAAGUGGUGAGGCUGUGAAAUCUCUACCGGCCGUGUGACUUGAACAAGACCUCUCUGAGCCUCAGUUUCCUCACUGGCACUGAGUUGGACGCUGUGGAUGUAGCAAUGAACAGAGCAAAGAUCUCUGCCUCUGAAGCUGACAUUGGAGAACAGCAGUCCGGAAGAACCUGCUAUGGAUGGAAUGAUGGAUGGACAGAAACAUUUUACACCUGGGCCAGGCAAGGUGGCUCAUGCCUGUAAUCCCAGCACUUUGGGAGGCCAGGAUAGGUGCAUCACCUGAGGUCAAGAGUUCCAGACCAGCCUGGCCAACAUGAGCCAGUACUCAGUGAGUGGAUGAGCGAGCAAGCAACUGACCGGCAAACAUGCAGCAUGAAUGAAUGACGAACUGAAUGGCAUGAAGUCUGGAGUCUCAAGGCUGAGACUGCAGAGACUGCAAAAGAGGAGUCCAUCCUCCUAUCCCCUCAGCUCUCAACUCUCUUCAUAAUCCUGAAGGGUUUUGGUACCUGGAGACUACGGAGCCAGGCUGCCUGUGUUCUAGUCUGAACUCAGUCACUUACCAGCUGUGUGACUUUGGACAAGUUACUUAACCUCUCUGUGCCUCUGGUCCCUUCUCGGUAAAGUGUAGUAAUAGGCUGGGUGCGGUGACUCACCUGUAAUCCCAGCACUUUGGGAGGCUAAGGCAGGUGGGUCACCUGAGGUCAGGAGUUCGAGACCAGCCUGGCCAACACAGUGCAACCCUGUCUCUACUAAAAAUACAAAAAAUCAACCAGAUGUGGUGGCGUGUGCCUGUAAUCCCAGCUACUCUGGAGGCCGAGGCACGAGCAUUGCUUCAACCUGGGUGGCAGAGGUUGCAGUGAGCCGAGAUCUCACCACUGCACUCCAGCCUGGGCAACAGAGGGAGACUCCUGUCGCAAAAAAAAAAAAAAAAAGGGGAAUAAUCAUAGUGCCUCCUUCACAGGGUUUUUUUGUGAGGACUGAGUGAGUUUUACAAGUAAAGUCCUCAGAACAAUGUUGCGCAUA